rnacentral:rRNA from 1 species
AUUGAACGCUGGCGGCAGGCCUAACACAUGCAAGUCGAACGAGUGGCGGACGGGUGAGUAAUGUCUGGGGAACUGCCUGAUGGAGGGGGAUAACUACUGGAAACGGUCGCUAAUACCGCAUACCAUCGGAUGAACCCACAUGGGAUUAGCUAGUAGGUGUGGUAAAGGCCCACCUAGUCGACGUCCUCUAUCUGGUCUGAGAGGAUGAACAGCCACACUGGGACUGAUACACAGUCGAAACUCCAACGGGAGGCAGCAGUGGUGAAAAUUGCACAAUGGGCGGAAGCCUGAUGAAGCCAGGCGGAGUGUAUGAAAAAGGCAUUAGGGUUGUAAAGGACUUUGAGCGGGGAGGCGUUACCCGCAGAAGAAGCACCGUCGAAGUCCGGGACAGCAGCCGCGGUAACAC